UACAAACAGGCAGUCAUGACUGAUUCUGAGCCUAAAAUCACCUCAAUUCUAGAAUCCCAGUUUCUGGACACUCAGUGCCAAUAAGACAGGUAUCACUGUAACUGGAUUCUUGGUUGUCAUGGGAAAAAAACACAAAACAACGAACAUUCUCCCUAAUGGGCAUUAGCCCAUUAGCCUCACCUUCAGGCAACUUUUCUCUCUGACUUCACUAUUUUGAUACUACUUUCUAUCUUCAUGAGCCAAGAAAUCACUUAAGCUGCUCUUCAUUCCAGGGUCCAAAUCAUUAUGGAUAUGUUAUCUUCUGGAUCGAUGAGGCUUAGAAUCUCUUGUAGAGAAGCUUUACUUAGAGUCUAAGCAUCACAGAAAAAGAGAGCAGACCCAGGGAUACCAGAGAGCCUUAUGUAAGGCUAGGAUGGUAGUUGUUAUUAGAAGGGAAGAGUUACCAGAUACCAUUUGUCAGCAUAUGCCAAGAUUUCAACCUAUGCCUCAGCUGCUGUCUCACCCUGGAACUUCCCUCAGCUCCCUGGAAUAUAGAAACUGGCCAGUGGCCUUCUCACACUGCAACAGCCUAUACCACACCAGCCCCAUUCUGCCACUGCCAAGUUCCUCCUUCUCCUUCCAUUUUGGGGAAGGAUGCAGGUCAGCCAACUUUCAUUCCCUUCUCUGUUAUGUUUCGCACUCAGGUACCUUCUUUCUCUGCCCCUCCCUUCAGUUCCCAUUUGUGUGCUGUAUUCUCCCAUUAAAAUGUAAGCCCCUCAAGGACGGAGACUGUCUUUUUGCUAGUAUUUGUAUCCCAGCAUUUGGCACUGUGGCUGAUACAUAGGAAAGGUUUAACAAGUGCUCAAUGCCUUCCCUUUUUUAAGAGUUUCCUUCAAACGUACUUUUUCCCCAUGUGUAUAGAGGAUUUACCUACUAGUUGCCUUCAACUUAAUUCUUCUCUAGUAAGAGUGAAAGAAAUAUCUAAGGAUGGCAUCAAAUAUUACAUAAUAAAAAUAGUUCAUUUUUAUAUAGCACUUUGGGUUUUUUUUUUAAAGUGUCUUAUAGACAUAUCAUUGGAGCCCACAACGUGCCUGUAAGUUCAGGGUUUCAAGUUACUCCUCAAUCUAAAGAUGAGGAGGCAGCUUUUUUGAAGUUAAGUAAUUUAGCCACAAUCAUGUAGCUAUUAGGAGUCAGAGGUGGGAUUCAAAAACAGAGAUCCCUUGGCUUCAGGGCCCUUUCCACUAUUAUCAAGAUGCUUCCAAGGACUCUGAACAAAAAAAAAUUUUUUUUUUGGUUUGUUUUUUGAUGGGGGAGGGAAAGGAAAAAAGAACAGGGACUAAACUAGAAAAGUAAACAGUAAUGACCUAUUUUGGUUAAGGUUUUUUCCCCCUGUUAAUCUAGUAGUCAGGUCUAAUUUACAUAUUUGUAAAAAUCAUUUCAGUUGGAGGGGAGGGGAGAGAAUUAUCUAAAAUAGGAAAACUCUUAGGUUUUUUUUAACUAAAGAGACAGCUUUAAAAAUUGUGACAUUUUGGGUCAGAAGCCUCUAGAAAAAGUUAUUCCUUGGUUGUGGAUAGGUAGCUAAGUGGUUUAGUGGAUAAAUUGUUGAACCUUGAGUCAGAAGGACAGGAAUUCAAAUCCCGCCCCAGGCACUUGCCAGCUGUGUUAACCUUGACAAAUCCUCUAACCUCUACCUCAGUUUCCUCAUCUGGAAAAUGGAGGUAAUAAUAGCAUCUACCUCUCAGAGUCGUUGCGAAGAUAAAAGGAAAUAUUUGUAAAAUGCUUUACUUAAAGUGUUAUAGGUCAAAUUGCUUGAAAAAAUAAGUAGGAGAACUAAGAUAUAAAAAUGAAAGCGAUCACUACUGAAAAUUCAGAAUUUAACAAACACCAAACAAAAUGAGUAUUUCCAUAUAUAAAGUACAAAAAAAAGGAUUGUAUAUGAAAACUGUGAAUCUUUACAUGUACCACUUGCUUGUUUCUAUUUCCUUGUAUUAUGCUUUUUGCAUUUUUAAAAGAUGCCUCAAUGACCCAUUAGUCUAUCUUUUUGCUGCUGCCUUACCCUUCCUUGCCCUUCCCACUAGGAAAAAAAAUAGAAAAAGAAAAACAAAGCCCUUGUAAGAAAUAUGCAUAGUCCAACAAAAUAAAUCACCAUGUUGUCUGUA